rnacentral:lncRNA from 1 species
CACGCUUCAUUUUUGGGAAAAGCACCUAGGGAAUAUUUGUGGAAUCCAAGAAUUCUUGGAAUUCCCUAUGUCCCUACGCUGCAUUUUGGGAAAAAGCACAUGGGGAACAUUUGUGGAAUCCAAGAAGUCUUGGAAUUCCCUAUGUCCCCCACGCUUCAUUUUUGGGAAAAGCACAUGGGGAACAUUUGCGGAAUCCAAGAAGUCUUGAAAUUCCCUAUGUCCCCCAUGCCACAUUUUUGAAAAUAUAAUAAAUACAAAAAAUAAAAUAUAUAUGUAUAUAUAUA